CAACUCUUCACCCAAUGAUGACCUGACCAUUGCCUGUCUGCUGACCAGUUCUCUGGCUCUCGUCCUUCGCUUGUCUGUAUUUGCGGCCUGCUGGUGAGCCCGGACGCAGCUUUAAUUCACUUAACACAGCGCAGAAGCAGUGACGGCCCCACUACGCCACCCAGCACCCCCCUCCAAAUCAACAACUGCCCACUUCCACAAACUGAGGACCUCCGUGGUCAGGCCUGGACACUGCCCAAACCUGGUGGGAGAGGAGAGACUGCCUGCCAGCAUCCAAUAGCAGCAACAGCACUGGCCACCAGCCCUGAGGAGAGUUUAAAUGAGAUGAGACAAGCCACUGCAUCAAGGACUGCAUCUGACUCCUACUUAGAUAAAGAAAUCUUGUUAAUAAAAAAAUCAAGCAGAAUGAAUGCUGAAAGGGUCUUCAAGGAUAUGUUUGAGCAUUUUUCUUCCAAUCAAUUAACGAAAAAAGAUCUACAACAGUACUGGAAGAAACUAAGAUAUCUAUAUCUCCUUUUCUAAUUAAAUUAAAAUUUUUUGUAGCUUUUGUAGAAGUGUUUUCAGUAAACUAUAACAUAAAUACUUUUUACUAAAAUGUUUGUCCUUAAGUGAAAUAUAGUCAUUUACAAUUAUGACAGAAUGGAAAAUGCAGGUAAUAACAGAAACAGUGUUUCUCACAUUUACUUUCAUUACAGACAGUAUGAACCCAGUAUAUUGCAUGUUUGGUCACAUCACCUUAUUUAUGUUUGUGAAUAUACAUUAAUCCCUGCAUUUCAUGGUUGUAAACAGGUGAUGUGAACGGGUGAUUAUAAUCAUGGUUUGAUACCAAAGCAGCAUCCACAAAAGUGGAAGGAGCAAAGAUGGGCAGAUGAUCUGUAGUAUAACAGAUCUACAGUACAUUGUCAAUACAUACAUAUUAGUAAAUGAUUUAAAUGUUUAAAAACAAGGUUCUUUAAAGAAAUAUUGGAAUGAACUAUUUCACCCUUUGCAGUGCAUGAUAUCAAUAAAUGAUUCAAGUAAUCACUGAACA
rnacentral:lncRNA from 1 species